GUAGUUGUAUACCUCCUUUUUAGAAUUGGAUGAACACCCAUAGUUCAGUUUGGGCUCAUGCAGUGUGUUUUUUCUCGAAUGCUUACUCUUGAUGCUUCAUGUGAUUCAACAUCGAUAAUUUCUUUUACUUAGUUUUUAUGCAUUUUAUGUAUUGUUUGUUGUCGAAUAGAUUCUGAACCGAUGUACAUGAACAAAAAUAGAUGAUAAUGUAUCGAUAAAUUCCAAUUAUUUAUGCAUGAUCAUUUUGCUAGGCAUUUUGCUGACAAAGGAAAAACCUGAAACUAAUUUCCGUUUAACAUAAACUCUAAUAUCUAUACUGUACAUACAUUUUAGACAUGUAUAUUUGUUCACUAACUAUUUAUUUUCUGUUGAAAUGAAUGGUAAUACUUGAUUUUCAAUUUCCUAAAUCUAUAUUAUUCUUCUGUUGAUAAAAAUAAUAUUGGGGCACACCACAUACUAAUUCACUCAGUUUAGGUCUGUUUCCUUUGAGAUUCACAAACAAGUGAUGUAGAAUUGAUCCGAAUUUUAAACAGACCUACACUUGAGUUUAUGACUGCUUUUUAUGUAUUUUAUUCUUUUACAGGAAUGCAUCCAUAAUCUUGGUAUAAAAUUUAUCUGGAUGGCUCAGAACCUUCAAAUGGCAUGGGUGAGAUACAGUUUGCUGUAUUCGGAUUUUUUUCAUCAUCACAGGUUUGCAAAUUUUGGUUAUAAUGCCAGUGUGUAUUUUAUGUUUCCAUUUUCCAUCAAUUCAUCUUGUAGAAUCUCUGUGACCCUGAACGGUUGUUUGGAACUUCGGUUCAGUCAUAGCCUGAUUUUUGCUGCCAGUAUUAGAUUUGUGAAGUUGGCAUUUGACUAUGGAUCAAAAUAUCCCCGGUUGCUCUAUGGAUCAAAGGUUUACAUGAUUUUCCGAGGAGGGGAUAUGGAAGCUGGUUCAUAAUAUUUUAGGAGUUGUGAUAGAACAAGAAUGGUUUCACUACCCAGCCUAGAGCAUCUAUUUAUUUUGCAGCGGAGAAAAUCUCUUUAAGACUACCUCAGGAGAAAGUUCGCCUUCGUGCUCUGCCGUCUAAAUGUGUUGAUUCCCCUUGAUGUGACCAUACUGGAUCUCACUGGUGGCUGCUCAACCUACAGGGGUCUCUCUCUGCCGAUCUCCUUUUUGCAGCAUAGAAUGGCAGGAAAUUUAUCCAUCCACCUGUGGUGAGAACUUGGUGUCACGUCUACCUGCCGAGCUGUCGCUGGUGCUAAAAAUGGUGUUGCUGCAGCUGACAGAUGCCAUGGACCAAGUGCUAUUCAGAUCUAAUCUCUCCAUGAUGCAGGACUCAAGUGUGUGUAAACCGUAAAGAUUAGACCAAUGGAUAUCAGAAAAAAGGAGCUCAAUCAGGUAUUUCACCAUCUUAUGCUACAC